rnacentral:rRNA from 1 species
AUACGUAGGUGACAAGCGUUAUCCGGAUUUACUGGGCGUAAAGGGCGUGUAGGCGGUCUUGCAAGUCAGAAGUGAAAUUCCUGAGCUCAACUCGGGCGCUGCUUCUGAAACUGCAGGACUUGAGUGCUGGAGGGGAUAGCGGAAUUCCUAGUGGAGCGGUAAAAUGCGCAGAUAUUAGGAAGAACACCGGUGGCGAAGGCGGAUUUCUGGACGGUAACUGACGCUGAGGCGCGAAAGCGUGGGGAGCAAACAGGUUUAGGUACCCGGGUAGUCCACGCCGUAAACGAUGAAUACUAGGUGUAGGGGGUAUCGACGCCCUCUGUGCCGCAGUUAACACAAUAAGUAUGCCGCCUGGGGAGUACGGCCGCAAGGUUGAAACUCAAAUGAAUUGACGGGG